rnacentral:rRNA from 1 species
GACGUAGGGCGCGAGCGUUGUUCGGAAUUACUGGGCGUAAAGGGCUCGUAGGUGGCCAACUAAGUCAGACGUGAAAUCCCUCGGCUUAACCGGGGAACUGCGUCUGAUACUGGAUGGCUUGAGGUUGGGAGAGGGAUGCGGAAUUCCAGGUGUAGCGGUGAAAUGCGUAGAUAUCAAGAGGAACACCUGCGGCGAAGGCGGGUUGCUGGGCCGACACUGACGCUGAUGCGCGAAAGCUAGGGGAGCGAACGGG